rnacentral:siRNA from 1 species
GCUCCUGCCCUGUCCUCCACCUCC